rnacentral:rRNA from 1 species
GACGAACGCUGGCGGCGUGCCUAAUACAUGCAAGUAGAACGCUGAAGAGAGGAGCUUGCUCUUCUUGGAUGAGUUGCGAACGGGUGAGUAACGCGUAGGUAACCUGCCUUGUAGCGGGGGAUAACUAUUGGAAACGAUAGCUAAUACCGCAUAACAAUGGAUGACACAUGUCAUUUAUUUGAAAGGGGCAAUUGCUCCACUACAAGAUGGACCUGCGUUGUAUUAGCUAGUAGGUGAGGUAAUGGCUCACCUAGGCGACGAUACAUAGCCGACCUGAGAGGGUGAUCGGCCACACUGGGACUGAGACACGGCCCAGACUCCUACGGGAGGCAGCAGUAGGGAAUCUUCGGCAAUGGGGGCAACCCUGACCGAGCAACGCCGCGUGAGUGAAGAAGGUUUUCGGAUCGUAAAGCUCUGUUGUAAGUCAAGAACGGGUGUGAGAGUGGAAAGUUCACACUGUGACGGUAGCUUACCAGAAAGGGACGGCUAACUACGUGCCAGCAGCCGCGGUAAUACGUANGUCCCGAGCGUUGUCCGGAUUUAUUGGGCGUAAAGCGAGCGCAGGCGGUUUGAUAAGUCUGAAGUUAAAGGCUGUGGCUCAACCAUAGUUCGCUUUGGAAACUGUCAAACUUGAGUGCAGAAGGGGAGAGUGGAAUUCCAUGUGUAGCGGUGAAAUGCGUAGAUAUAUGGAGGAACACCGGUGGCGAAAGCGGCUCUCUGGUCUGUAACUGACGCUGAGGCUCGAAAGCGCGGGGAGCGAACAGGAUUAGAUACCCUGGUAGUCCACGCCGUAAACGAUGAGUGCUAGGUGUUGGAUCCUUUCCGGGAUUCAGUGCCGCAGCUAACGCAUUAAGCACUCCGCCUGGGGAGUACGACCGCAAGGUUGAAACUCAAAGGAAUUGACGGGGGCCCGCACAAGCGGUGGAGCAUGUGGUUUAAUUCGAAGCAACGCGAAGAACCUUACCAGGUCUUGACAUCCCGAUGCUAUUUCUAGAGAUAGAAAGUUACUUCGGUACAUCGGUGACAGGUGGUGCAUGGUUGCCGUCAGCUCGUGUCGUGAGAUGUUGGGUUAAGUCCCGCAACGAGCGCAACCCCUAUUGUUAGUUGCCAUCAUUCAGUUGGGCACUCUAGCGAGACUGCCGGUAAUAAACCGGAGGAAGGUGGGGAUGACGUCAAAUCAUCAUGCCCCUUAUGACCUGGGCUACACACGUGCUACAAUGGUUGGUACAACGAGUUGCGAGUCGGUGACGGCGAGCUAAUCUCUUAAAGCCAAUCUCAGUUCGGAUUGUAGGCUGCAACUCGCCUACAUGAAGUCGGAAUCGCUAGUAAUCGCGGAUCAGCACGCCGCGGUGAAUACGUUCCCGGGCCU